CACUCCUGCGGGAGGCAGCAGUGGGGAAUAUUGCACAAUGGGCGCAAGCCUGAUGCAGCCAUGCCGCGUGUAUGAAGAAGGCCUUCGGGUUGUAAAGUACUUUCAGCGGGGAGGAAGGCAAUACGGUUAAUAACCGUGUUGAUUGACGUUACCCGCAGAAGAAGCACCGGCUAACUCCGUGCCAGCAGCCGCGGUAAUACGGAGGGUGCAAGCGUUAAUCGGAAUUACUGGGCGUAAAGCGCACGCAGGCGGUCUGUCAAGUCGGAUGUGAAAUCCCCGGGCUCAACCUGGGAACUGCAUUCGAAACUGGCAGGCUUGAGUCUUGUAGAGGGGGGUAGAAUUCCAGGUGUAGCGGUGAAAUGCGUAGAGAUCUGGAGGAAUACCGGUGGCGAAGGCGGCCCCCUGGACAAAGACUGACGCUCAGGUGCGAAAGCGUGGGGAGCAAACAGGAUUAGAUACCCCAGUAGUCCCAUG
rnacentral:rRNA from 1 species